GCUUGUUAUUCAAGAUAGAGCAACUUUCUAACGAACUGAAACACUGUUUCUUUGUGAAUUCAGUUAGUUCCCAGUAGCAGGCUCAUGUAAUUUCUGUACUUUUAAAGAUUUAUCAAAAUAUGGUGAGCCGAAUUAGAGUAACAUGUUGAAUUCGGUUAGUUCCCAAUAGGCCGCAGUAGUAAUAAGUGGACUGUUCGGGAUAUAGAAAAAUUUUCACGAAUGGAAUCAAAAUUUCUAGGCGAAUUCAGUGAGUUCCCAAUGGGACAUGCUUGUAUUAGUGUGCUUUUCGAUAUAUAGCAACAUUUUAAGGGACGGAAUCUAAGUAUCAUGGUGAAUUCAGUAGGUUCCCAAUAGGAUUCGCAUGUAAUAAGCUUGUUAUUCAAGAUAGAGCAACGUUUUUACGAACUGAAACAGUGUAUCUUUGUGAAUUCAGUUAGUUCCCAGUAGCAGGUCCUUGUAAUAUGUGUACUUUUAAGAUUUAUCAAAAUUUCCUGAGUCGAAUCUGAGUGACAUGGUGAAUUCGGUUAGUUCCCAAUAGGCCGCAGUAGUAAUAAGUGGACUGUUCGGGAUAUAGAAAAAUUUUCACGAAUGGAAUCAAAAUUUCUAGGCGAAUUAAGUGAGUUCCCAAUGGGACAUGCUUGUAUGAGUGUGCUUUUCAAUAUAGAGCAACAUUUUAAGGGACGGAAUCUAAGUAUCAUGGUGAAUUCAGUAGGUUCCCAAUAGGAUUCGCAUGUAAUAAGCUUGUUAUUCAAGAUAGAGCAACGUUUUAACGAACUGAAACACUGUUUCUUUGUGAAUUCAGUUAGUUCCCAGUAGCAGGUUCUUGUAAUAUGUGUACUUUUUAAGAUUUAUCAAAAUUUCCUGAGUCGAAUCUGAGUGACAUGGUGAUUUCGGUUAGUUCCCAAUAGGCCGCAGUAGUAAUAAGUGGACUGUCGGGAUAUAGAAAAAUUUUCACAAAUGGAAUCAAAAUUUCUAGGCGAAUUAAGUGAGUUCCCACUGGGACAUGCUUGUAUGAGUGUGCUUUUCAAUAUAGAGCAACAUUUUAAGGGACGGAAUCUAAGUAUCAUGGUGAAUUCAG
rnacentral:lncRNA from 1 species